rnacentral:rRNA from 1 species
UCGGUAAUGACGUUGGGAAAGCGAGCGGCGGAUGGGUGAGUAACACGUGGGGAACCUGCCCCUAAGUCUGGGAUACCAUUUGGAAACAGGUGCUAAUACCGGAUAAUAAAGCAGAUCGCAUGAUCAGCUUUUGAAAGGCGGCGUAAGCUGUCGCUAAGGGAUGGCCCCGCGGUGCAUUAGCUAGUUGGUAAGGUAACGGCUUACCAAGGCGACGAUGCAUAGCCGAGUUGAGAGACUGAUCGGCCACAUUGGGACUGAGACACGGCCCAAACUCCUACGGGAGGCAGCAGUAGGGAAUCUUCCACAAUGGACGCAAGUCUGAUGGAGCAACGCCGCGUGAGUGAAGAAGGUUUUCGGAUCGUAAAGCUCUGUUGUUGGUGAAGAAGGAUAGAGGUAGUAACUGGCCUUUAUUUGACGGUAAUCAACCAGAAAGUCACGGCUAACUACGUGCCAGCAGCCGCGGUAAUACGUAGGUGGCAAGCGUUGUCCGGAUUUAUUGGGCGUAAAGCGAGCGCAGGCGGAAAAAUAAGUCUAAUGUGAAAGCCCUCGGCUUAACCGAGGAACUGCAUCGGAAACUGUUUUUCUUGAGUGCAGAAGAGGAGAGUGGAACUCCAUGUGUAGCGGUGGAAUGCGUAGAUAUAUGGAAGAACACCAGUGGCGAAGGCGGCUCUCUGGUCUGCAACUGACGCUGAGGCUCGAAAGCAUGGGUAGCGAACAGGAUUAGAUACCCUGGUAGUCCAUGCCGUAAACGAUGAGUGCUAAGUGUUGGGAGGUUUCCGCCUCUCAGUGCUGCAG